rnacentral:rRNA from 1 species
UGCGGAGGGAGCUAGCGUUGUUCGGAAUUACUGGGCGUAAAGCGCACGUAGGCGGCUUUUUAAGUCAGGGGUGAAAUCCCGGGGCUCAACCCCGGAACUGCCCUUGAAACUGGAGAGCUAGAAUCUUGGAGAGGCGAGUGGAAUUCCGAGUGUAGAGGUGAAAUUCGUAGAUAUUCGGAAGAACACCAGUGGCGAAGGCGACUCGCUGGACAAGUAUUGACGCUGAGGUGCGAAAGCGUGGGGAGCAAACAGG